rnacentral:lncRNA from 13 species
UCUUCCUUUCUCCAGUAAGUGUACCCGGCAGAUCAUACUUGGCCGUUUUUGACUCUUAAUGUGCAUGCCCAGGAAGUUCCUUCUCCCUGGGGUCUGCCUUUAAUUAAUACUUUAAUAUUGACAGGCGUGGACCAUCAGGAAUGGCCUCUCCGUGGCCCUAGCUGCCUAUUUAUCACUAUUUUAGAGAGGCAAUGUGAUCACCGCUGAACCAACGGACAUUUCUAGCUCUUGUCCCCUGAGACAACCAACUUUUAGAAUUUCAAUGCAAAUUAUCUCACUGCCUGCCUCCCCCAUUUCCUCAAAGCUAAUUUUUCCACUCCUGCCCUUCAAGCCUUGGGGUCUUGCUGCAUUCGUGGGAUUGCUCCCAAUAGCAUUUAAACAAAAUAAAAUUAAAAGGAGCACUGAAAGUCCAGCCCAGUUCUGAUUCAUUGCUCAUUGGAAGAAGAGUAAUAUCAGCUUGUUGGUGGUACUGUUCAUUUUUUCAUCUACUGAAGAACAUCUGGAUUUAAGACAAAUAAAGCUGUGAUGAAAUACUUGAACAUCUGGAAUUACAGCGAAGUUCCUGAAUGGAGUGGGGGAAAAAAAAUUCUGGAGCCUGGGUAAUCCAAGAUCAACACAUCAGUAGAUUCGAUGUCUGUGAAGUACAUGCUUCCUGUUUCAGAGAUGGGUGUCUUCUCACUGUGUCCUCACAUUGUGGAAGGGGUGAAGGAUUCUCCUGGACCUCUUUUCUGGGUACACUGAUCUUAUUCAUGAGGGCUCCACCCUCAUGACCAAAUCACCUCCCACAUGCCCCACCUCUUAAUACAAUCACUUUGGGGGUUGAAUGGGGGGGAGGGCAGAAACAUUCAAUCUGUAGUAACUUGUGUAAAUUGUGUAUCUAUGAACUACUUGUGGAAAUAAAAAAACAUUAAAGGUAUGAACUAGAAAAAUA